UGUGGUCAGGCAUGGCGAGAAAAUAAUAAUGGGAAAUUCCAGAAACCAACAAUCCCUCAGUUUGGAAUUGAAGGCCGUUCUGAGUCUAGUGGAUGAAAUCUAAGCCACCUGCUCCAUCCUGCCUGGGACAUGAACUGUCCCUUUGUCCAGUGGAUCCACACCCAUCAACACUACCCGCUGGUCAUCAGCGCGGCCACCAGAGCGGUCGACCCGGUCCACAGCUGCUUACGUUCAGCUCACCCUUGUUUUACUUCACAUCGGCUUCAGGGUGCAAGAGCUGAGCUUGUGGCCCAGGAGUGUGUAGAGAGAAGCUGGAAAUGCUUCCAUCCAGUGAGACAGUGAAGAUCCAGGAGAUAUUCUGAGAGAGAGAAGGAGCACGUUCACAUUAUUACAGUAUGUUGCUGUAAAAACAUGUUUUUGAAGCUGGGUGUGGUGCACACACCUGCAGUCCCAGCACCCUGCCUGUCUCCAAGGGGCAGCGCUUCCCAGCCCUGAGUGCAGCGUCCUGCAGGACAUGGGCG
rnacentral:lncRNA from 1 species